CCUACGGGAGGCAGCAGUGGGGAAUAUUGCACAAUGGAGGCAACCCUGAUGCAGCGACGCCGCGUGCAUGAAGAAGUACUUCGUUAUGUAAAGCUCUAUCAGCAGGGAAGAAAAUGACGGUACCUGACUAAGAAGCACCGGCUAACUACUUGCCAGCAGCCGCGGUAAUACGUAGGGGGCAAGCGUUAUCCGGAUUUACUGGGUGUAAAGGGAGCGUAGACGGCGCUGCAAGUCCGGAGUGAAAGUCCAUGGCUGAACCAUGGUACUGCUCUGGAAACUGUGGAGCUUGAGUGCGGGAGGGGCAGGCGGAAUUCCUAGUGUAGCGGUGAAAUGCGUAGAGAUUAGGAGGAACACCGGCGGCGAAGGCGGCCUGCUGGACCGUAACUGACGUUGAGGCUCGAAAGCGUGGGGAGCAAACAGGAUUAGAUACCCUGGUAGUC
rnacentral:rRNA from 1 species